rnacentral:rRNA from 1 species
GAUGAACGCUAGCGGCAGGCUUAACACAUGCAAGUCGAGGGGUAACAGGGAAGAGCUUGCUUUUCCGCUGACGACCGGCGCACGGGUGCGUAACGCGUAUAGAACCUACCUUUUACAGGGGAAUAGCCCAGAGAAAUUUGGAUUAAUGCCCCAUAGUAUUAUUGAAUGGCAUCAUUUAAUAAUUAAACAUUUAUGGGUAAAAGAUGGCUAUGCGUUCUAUUAGCUAGAUGGUAAGGUAACGGCUUACCAUGGCAACGAUAGAUAGGGGUCCUGAGAGGGAGAUCCCCCACACUGGUACUGAGACACGGACCAGACUCCUACGGGAGGCAGCAGUGAGGAAUAUUGGACAAUGGAGGCAACUCUGAUCCAGCCAUGCCGCGUGCAGGAAGACGGUCCUAUGGAUUGUAAACUGCUUUUAUAUAGGAAGAAACCUUUCCACGUGUGGAAAGCUGACGGUACUAUAAGAAUAAGCACCGGCUAACUCCGUGCCAGCAGCCGCGGUAAUACGGAGGGUGCAAGCGUUAUCCGGAAUCAUUGGGUUUAAAGGGUCCGUAGGCGGACUAAUAAGUCAGGGGUGAAAUCCAACAGCUUAACUGUUGAACUGCCUUUGAUACUGUUAGUCUUGAGUUAUAUGGAAGUAGAUAGAAUAUGUAGUGUAGCGGUGAAAUGCUUAGAGAUUACAUAGAAUACCGAUUGCGAAGGCAGUCUACUACGUAUAUACUGACGCU